CAGCAGCCGCGGUAAUACGUAGGGUGCGAGCGUUAAUCGGAAUUACUGGGUGUAAAGCGUGCGCAGGCGGUUUUGUAAGACAGGCGUGAAAUCCCCGGGCUCAACCUGGGAAUGGCGCUUGUGACUGCAAAGCUAGAGUGCGGCAGAGGGGGAUGGAAUUCCGCGUGUAGCAGUGAAAUGCGUAGAUAUGCGGAGGAACACCGAUGGCGAAGGCAAUCCCCUGGGCCUGCACUGACGCUCAUGCACGAAAGCGUGGGGAGCAAACAGGAUUAGAUACCCCCGUAGUCCCUGUCUCUUAUAC
rnacentral:rRNA from 1 species